rnacentral:rRNA from 1 species
CCUACGGGGGACAGCAGUGGGGGAUAUUGCACAAUGGGGGAAACCCUGAUGCAGCGACGCCGCGUGUGGGAAGACUGUCCUCUGGAUUGUAAACCACUGUCCCCAGGGACGAAGAUGACGGUACCUGGGGAGGAAGCUCCGGCUAACUACGUGCCAGCAGCCGCGGUAAUACGUAGGGAGCGAGCGUUGUCCGGAAUUACUGGGUGUAAAGGGAGCGUAGUGGGGGAUGCAAGUUGGGUGUCAAAACUACCGGCUCAACUGGUAGUCGCACUCGAAACUGCAGCUCUUGAGUGGAGUAGAGGCAGGCGGAAUUCCUAGUGUAGCGGUGAAAUGCGUAGAUAUUAGGAAGAACACCAGUGGCGAAGGCGGCCUGCUGGGCUUUUACUGACGCUGAGGCUCGAAAGUGUGGGGAGCGAACAGGAUUAGAUACCCUUGUAGUC